GCAGCUCAGGAAAGCGGGGAGUGAUGGCAGCACGGCGAGUACUCCUACCUUAGGUUGGAGGGAUCGCACAUCCGCUGAAUUCCAAGAUCACUUUCACCCAUGCCUGUUGGGUUGGAGAGAUCAUCUACUUCCUUCCGUACUCUGCAGUCUUUACAUCUCACAGCAGGGCCUCAAGAUAAAGAUGAUGAGACAAAAGAGAAGACGAAAGAAAAGGAGAAAGAGGAAGGUAGGGGAAUAUUUUCAUUCUAGUUGACAGCUGAAUGUCCUAUGUUUUCUUUGGGAUAAACAGUAAGUUUUUGCCAAAAGACACUGCAUUGUUUAAUAAAUUUGCAAAA